GUGCCAGCCGCCGCGGUAAUACGGAAGGUCCGGGCGUUAUCCGGAUUUAUUGGGUUUAAAGGGAGCGCAGCCGGGUUUUAAGCGUGCUGUGAAAUGUACCGGCUCAACCGGUGACGUGCAGCGCGAACUGGAGCCCUUGAGUGAGUACGACGUCAGCGGAAUUCGUGGUGUAGCGGUGAAAUGCUUAGAUAUCACGAAGAACCCCGAUUGCGAAGGCAGCUGGCGAGUCCUUAACUGACGCUAAAGCUCGAAAGUGCGGGUAUCGAACAGGAUUAGAUACCCUGGUAGUCCGCACGGUAAACGAUGGAUGCCCGCUGUUGGCGAUAUAGUGUCAGCGGCCAAGAGAAAUCGUUAAGCAUCCCACCUGGGGAGUACGCCGGCAACGGUGAAACUCAAAGGAAUUGACGGGGGCCCGCACAAGCGGAGGAACAUGUGGUUUAAUUCGAUGAUACGCGAGGAACCUUACCCGGGCUUGAACUGCAGAGGAAGGAUUGAGAGAUCAUGACGCCCUUCGGGGCCUCUGUGGAGGUGCUGCAUGGUUGUCGUCAGCUCGUGCCGUGAGGUGUCGGCUUAAGUGCCAUAACGAGCGCAACCCCUUUCGUCAGUUGCCAUCAGGUAGAGCUGGGCACUCUGGCGACACUGCCACCGUAAGGUGCGAGGAAGGUGGGGAUGACGUCAAAUCAGCACGGCCCUUACGUCCGGGGCUACACACGUGUUACAAUGGGUGGUACAGAGAGUCAGUCCAAUGCAAAUUGGAUUCAAUCAGUAAAGCCAUCCUCAGUUCGGAUUGGGUCUGCAACCCGACCCCAUGAAGCUGGAUUCGCUAGUAAUCGCGCAUCAGCCAUGGCGCGGUGAAUACGUUCCCGGGCCUUGUACACACCGCCCGU
rnacentral:rRNA from 1 species